AUUGAACGCUGGCGGCAUGCCUUACACAUGCAAGUCGAACGCGAAAGCGGGGCAACCCGCAAGUAGAGUGGCGAACGGGUGAGUAAUACAUCGGAACAUAUCCAGUAGCGGGGGAUAACCUGUCGAAAGAUAGGCUAAUACCGCAUACGACCUACGGGUGAAAGCGGAGGACCGCAAGGCUUCGCACUAUUGGAGUGGCCGAUGUCGGAUUAGCUAGUUGGCGGGGUAACAGCCCACCAAGGCGACGAUCCGUAGCUGGUCUGAGAGGACGGCCAGCAGCACUGGAACUGAGACACGGUCCAGACUCCUACGGGAGGCAGCAGUGGGGAAUGUUGGACAAUGGGCGCAAGCCUGAUCCAGCCAUGCCGGGUGAGUGAAGAAGGCCUUCGGGUUGUAAAGCUCUUUCGGCGGGGACGAAAUGGUCCGUGCUAACACCACGGACUGAUGACGGUACCCGAAGAAGAAGCACCGGCUAACUACGUGCCAGCCGCCGCGGUAACAC
rnacentral:rRNA from 1 species